GUACGCUAUUCAGAGUUUGAUCCUGGCUCAGGAUUAACGCUGGCGGCAUGCCUAAUACAUGCAAGUCGAACGAGGUAGCAAUACCUAGUGGCGAACGGGUGAGUAACACGUGGGGAACCUGCCCAUUAGUCGAGGAUAACUAUUGGAAACGAUAGCUAAAACUGGAUAGUAUAUCGGAAGGCAUCUUCUGAUAUUUAAAGGUCCUGCAAGGGAACGCUAAUGGAUGGCCCUGCGGAGCAUUAGCUAGUUGGUGAGGUAACGGCCCACCAAGGCGACGAUGCUUAGCUGAGCUGAGAGGCUAAACAGCCACACUGGGACUGAGACACGGCCCAG
rnacentral:rRNA from 1 species